GCUGUUAAAUAAAACGAACUAAAUUACAAUAUCAUCAUAACCAAUCCAUGUACUCCCUGCUACUGAAUAAGUAGAGACAGUUGCGGCGUCAUGUGUCACAGCAGCCUUAUUUGCCAGGUUGUGAUUCUCUAUUUCAGAGAAUUUUAGUACAGUAUGCCUUCUGCCGCUGGACCUAUACCCAUAGCUGGGGCUCCAAGUCAGCUCACUUCCGGAUCUUUCAGGCUCCAAGUCUUCCCCUAAAGUGGCAAGCCCAUGAUCACUUUUCUUCUUGGAACCCCGGCUUUGAUCCAGGACUUGAGGCCAUAACAGGUGCUCAAGUUCCCUGUUAAAUCUAAUAGUGCUGCAUGGCUUCCAGUGUCAUUUCGCGUCCACUUACCAUAAUAGUCAUAAUUCAUUGCAUUGAUCCAAUCCAUAUUUUUGCUAAUUGAAGCUCUAGGGUAUUUUACUGGAAUCCCAGUAAAAUUACCAUUGGCAUAAUAGUAUGCAGCAGCAGCAAGUAACAACUGAGGCUUAUAUGUAGCUUUAGCCUCUUUUUUCACCCCAGCUCUCCAUUCAUGUAUUAACAUCCCAAAACUUGGAAUGCACCCUUUAGUCUUUGAUGUUUGAGUAACUUGUAUGCUUCAUCAAACUUUUCCCGCCAGGCCAUAUUCCAUAAUCAUGGUGUUAUAAGCAUAUGCACAUGGAACUUUCCUGUUCAGCUCCAUUUGCUCAUACAUAUUCACAGCUUCGUCCUAUUUAAGCUUUUGUCUUUAAGUUUAUGAAAUAUUCAAAUAUAUUAAUAUUAUACAUUAAUAUUUAUAUAAAUUCUUUAACACACUUAUAGAUUACAUAAAUAGUAAAAUGUGAGACAUUUUAGUCCAUCACAAUAUAUAGUUUCAAAUUAUAAUUUCACUUAUUUAAAUUAUUGAUUAUUAAUAAGUUAUAAUAACCGAAGUUUGGUUAAAUCUUUUCAUUCAUUCCUAAAUUAUAUUUUUAAUAUAAACUUAAGAAAUAAAAAUGAAAGUUAUAACAAAAUGUGAGACAAAGCAAAAGUGCAGCAUCAACCCGCCCCUCCCUACACAUCAUCAUAUAGAAAAUUCAUGAAUUGCCUUUUUAUGACUCAUUAACCCGCUAUAUAGAUUCAAUUUUGGAAGGAACUGUCCAAGGGAAAAAAAAAUCCCCUAUCUCACUACCAAACCUCCUCCUUUCUUAUUUCAUUAACUCAAUUUAAUAUUAUAUUCUUUAAUUUUAUAAAGAUUACCUUUCCUAAUAAGAAAUAUUAGUGGUCAUUGGAGUUGAAACUUUUCAAUAGAAAUAUAACAUUUUUAAAGAUGCCAAAAAACCUUACCUUUUUCACGCUUUUGGUAAUUAAUUUGAAGGUUCCUGGUAUGUCGGCAUUCUGAGACAAAUGAAGAGUAGAGUUCUGAAAUAGAAUGCAUUUCGUAGAUGACUUAAAACGGCUUGUAGAAGAAAGUAUUACUUUAAGCAAUAAGUCACUUCUUUUAAGCCCAAUCCCCUAUCUCACUACCAAACCUCCUCCUUUCUUAUUUCAUUAACUCAAUUUAAUAUUAUAUUCUUUAAUUUUAUAAAGAUUACCUUUCCUAAUAAGAAAUAUUAGUGGUCAUUGGAGUUGAAACUUUUCAAAUGGCUAUAGAUGAGGCAUAGAACUUUUCCAUGAGCGAGAAGAAGCUGAGAAAAUCCUAAAAGAACCAAAAAAAAGAAUAUGAUGCACGUCAAAUGUGUAAAUUAUUGAAAUUGCUAAACACUUUAACAAUUACAUAGAAAACUCGGGAGCAGGCUUAAGUCAUUUCAUAUCCACUGUCAAAAUCUUGUGGUCUCACUGUUAAUUCAAUUGAUCUUACAACUACAAAAAACACUCUUAGGUAUAGGCUGUUAAAUAAAACGAACUAAAUUACAAUAUCAUCAUAACCAAUCCAUGUACUCCCUGCUACUGAAUAAGUAGAGACAGUUGCGGCGUCAUGUGUCACAGCAGCCUUAUUUGCCAGGUUGUGAUUCUCUAUUUCAGAGAAUUUUAGUACAGUAUGCCUUCUGCCGCUGGACCUAUACCCAUAGCUGGGGCUCCAAGUCAGCUCACUUCCGGAUCUUUCAGGCUCCAAGUCUUCCCCU
rnacentral:lncRNA from 1 species